rnacentral:rRNA from 1 species
CCCUUAGAUGUUCUGGGCCGCACGCGCGCUACACUGAUGCAUUCAACAAGCCUAGCCUUGACCGAGAGGUCCGGGUAAUCUUUGAAACUGCAUCGUGAUGGGGCUAGAUUAUUGCAAUUACUAAUCUUCAACGAGGAAUGCCUAGUAAGCGUGAUUCAUCAAAUCGCGUUGAUUACGUCCCUGCCCUUUGUACACACCGCCCGUCGCUCCUACCGAUUGAAUGUGUUGGUGAGGAGCUCGGAUUGGCAGCAGUUGGUGGUUCGCCACCGGCUAUUGCUGAGAAGUCCUCCAAACCGCCCCAUUUAGAGGAAGGAGAAGUCGUAACA